GGUUUUACAGAGAUCAUUUACCUGUCCUGUGACUUAUUCUGAGAUGAAAAGGACAAAGAAUGGCCAAGACCACACCGCCCCCCAGGGGAGCUGAUGUGUCCACAGACGCCCCGCACACGUGCUCUGUGACUCCCGCAUGCAGUGACUGUCCUAGUGCGGGGUUUCAUGCUUGUGGGGUGAGCAUGGAACAUACAUCACGUCUGUCUUUUGAUCCUUGUGAGGCAAGAGAGCAGUCCUCAGGAGGCUUGCCCACUCGCCCUCUGGGGCAGGAUAAGGGCCGAUCUACAAAGGGCGGGGUGGGGCUCAGCCCUCCAGCCUUUCUCCCAGAGGCACACCCAAGAAUGCUGUCAGACUGCCAUGAGAUCGAGUGAAACGUCACUCCAAGUGUGCAAAGGUGACAGUCACAAAGACUACAGAGCUGUGACCUGACCUCACUUCAUACGUGCUGUCCACCCCGUAAUCACUGUGCUUCGGGGGUGUGCCCCAGGAAGCGGGGACGCGUGGUAGGCCUCCUGUUCGCUGAGCCUUUCUGGCAUCGGGUGUAAAAUCACGGCCCGUGUGUCCCUCUAUCCUGCCUUCCGCGGUGUGUGCAAGAGGUAAGAUGAAGUCACACAUCCUUUUCUGUAUCGAUUUGACAGCUCGCCAGUGACUCCCAUUAAAAAGGAUUCGAAAUAGAGUUUUUCAGUGUUGCAAGAUGAGAGAGUUCUGGAGACGUGUUGCACAGCAUGGUCGAUCCUUCAUCCCUUGGAAUCAGGCGACAGAAACAAGUGGAGUCCCAACGGCCUCCCAACCUGGCUCCGGGGACCACUGUCUCUGGGGGUGAACACCCCAGGCCCCUGGAGCAUAGCGGCGUCUGGCUAACCUCCCGCUCCUUCCUCCUCCCGCCUUGCGGCACAUAACCCACUCAGCUGGGGCCAAAGUUUCUGGCCUUGGACCUCUGUCUCCCCGCCCUCCUGGGUCACAACCGCUAGUUUACCAAGGGCAUGAACUCUCUCCUGAAUCAACAAGGGGCACUGAGUCAGCAGUCAGCGUGCAGGUGGCCUUCCUGGGCACCCAGCCCUCCCUCCGCCCAGAGCCUGGCUCCACCACCUUGCUGCCUGGGGGUCCCCUCCUCACCCAGCCCCUCAGGGGUCCUCCCCCAGCUCCCAAGUCACAGAAGCCCCGGGGGUGGGGGGGCACAGGGCUGGCCGCCUCACCAGGUCAUCCUUUGACCCACCUGCCACUUUCUUCCUCACAAAUGCCCAGCUCCUAUCAUUGGAGCCUUUUGUUCAACCUCCACUACCUCUCUCCUGCAGGGAAACUGAACCCGAAGGGGGGACUCCCCUUGAGGGUGCCACGCACCCCUACCUGUGGGGUUGCAGAACCGAGGGGCUUGGCAAGGUGCUCGGUCAGCUCCACACGCAGUCUUGGGAGCCUUCCCUUUCUCCUGGGCGCUUCCACCACCUUGGAUACUACCCAGAGUUGCUUCCCCAGCUUGGACUCUGUCUCCUGCAAGUAUUUUACGGAGCACCUGCUAUGUGCUGGGUGCUAGGCUAGGCAGUGCUGCAGGGUGCUGGCGAGAGGGAGGGGGCUGGACUGUGGAUUGGGUGAUAGCUUUCUGUUUAUGUGGACUUUCCUGAUUUUGGUCAUUGCGUUGUGGUUGUGUACAAGGGUGUUUUAGUUAGGGAAUACACACUGAAGUAUACAGGACACAAUGUCUGCUCCUUACUCUCAAAUGGUUCAGAGAAAAUACGCAUGUGUGUGUGUAUGUGUCUAUAUGUGUGUGUAGGUUGCAUGCGUAUAGAUGUGCAUAUGUGUGCAUGCACGUGCAUGCACACGCGUGUAUGUGUAUGUGGGUGGAAAGAGACAGAGCAAUGACAUAGCAAACAAAGUGUGAACGAGUGAAUCUGGGUAUAGGGUAUAUGGGAGUUCCUUGUACUAGUCUUGCAAGUUUUCAGCAAAUUUGAAUUAUUCUAAAAUACGGAGUUACCAAAAAUAUACGAACUUAAACAGCAGUACAGCAAAUUAUAAAAACCAGACAAUCCCCAUCAAAUAUGUUAAAGGGAUUGCCUGCAGGAAGGAAGGGGUACAGGUGGAAAAGGGAUAAAAAUGGGGGCACUAAAUGAAAGAAAGGAAUAGAGAGAGGGACAGAGGGAGAGAAGGACAGAGGAAAGGAAGAAAGAGGAAUAGGAGGGGGGAAGGGAUAAAGGGAAGAAGGUAGAAGGAAGGAAGGAAGG